GGACAGGACGGAAGGAGGGGAAGGGAUCCCCGCAGUCCAGCCACGCCAGCGAACACGCCAGUCCCGAGGAGCUGCUUCCGUCUGCGCGCGGGGACCGGCGCUGCCCCGAGGCUCUCGGCGCUGACCGGGAAGGGGCCGCCCGCUCCUGUCCCGGAGAGCAGGCUCCCUCCCGGGCGGAUCCUUUCGGUAAAUUUACAUCGGCUGUUUCUUUCUGCCCGGCCCUGGGUCUCGAAGGGAAAGGAACGGUUUGUUUUCUCUGCUUGCACGAUUUGUUUUAAAGCCGAUCCUUACCCGCUGGGCUCCGCGACCGAACCCUCGGCUCUCUGCCUGCACUCCAAAGAUAAAAAAUAAAAAGGGAUGGAACUUGGAACCUUACACUUGCAAGGCAGGUGCCGGAACCACUCAGGUGCCGAUCAUAAACUACGAGCAAGACACUGAACAAAUAAAAAGCUAACUGUGGCCGGGUAGUCACUAAAAGCAGGCAGAAACUAAAGGGUGGUCUGCCUUAGGGAAAGAGAACUCAGCUGGGAACAGCUAGCAGCCCAGCUGCCCGGGGGACCCCAGGGUCCAGGCCAUGCUGGGCAACUUAGGGAGACCCUGUCUCAAAAUGAAAGAAUGAGGGCCAGGGACUUGGCUCCGUGGCAUCAUGCCUGCCUGGAAAGUGCAGGGUCCUGAGUUCCAUCUCCGGUACAAAAACCCCAAACAAUCAAACCCCCCAAAAUGUAAGAAUGAGGAAGAGGUGCAGGUGGAGCUCAGUGGCUGGGCCGCCCUGGGUUCAGGCUGAAAUGCUACCAAGAAAGACAUGGGAGCAGCUGUGGCCUUGGCCUCACCUUCAGGCCAGGGGUGCAGACAGCUGGGCCGGGGUGGCUGCCAGGACAUGGCUGGGGUGGGGGGAGAAGCUAGGGAAGAGAGGCGAGGUGUGUUGGAAAAGGAGCUCAGACAGAGCCAGUCACAAACUCUGACUAUAAACUUUGCUUCAAAUCCUGGCCUACUUGGUUUUUCUGUUUUGCUUUGGGGUUUUUUUGUGCUUUUGAGACAGGGCCUCCCUAUGUAGUUCCAGCUGGCCUUGAACUCACUAUGUAGCCCAGGCUGGCCUCGAACUUGCAGCAGUCCUGCCUCAGCCUCCCGACUGCUGGGGACAGGACCGGCCCGCAGGCCGAGUGAGCUCAGCGGGCCAUGUGGCAGAAUUCAGUCCGGGGGCACAGAGUAUAAGUCACCAGAUCCCCUCCACACAGGCGAAAUGCAGCAACAGAAAAUGAUCAGGACCGAGCUUCGGGGCAGCUGUUACAACGGCACAUGAGACACUGACAAACCAACAAGGGAAUCUCAGGAGAGAGGCAGAAGUGAUAAAAUACGAGAAUCAAGUGGGAAUCUGCAUGUGAGCAAUGCAACUUGCGGCUGAAAUGAUAAUGAAGGGAUGAGUUCCGUAGCAGAUUGAAGACAGAGUUAGUCAGGGAAGCACCCGCCAGAGAGGAAAGUGAAAGGGCUGCACAGCCAGCGCUGGGCACCAGCAGCCCCGCGACCCUCCAGGAAGGAAACCCUUCACACUUCAGCGGAAUGACACCAGCUGUCACUCAGCUCCCCAGGGAGGGGUGGAGAGCACCGGAAUGGUAAGUAUUUGGCAGACAUUAAAAAAAUACUUC
ensembl:lncRNA